ensembl:lncRNA
CAGGAGACAACAUCACUCUCUAUAGUGACUGUAGAACAACAAGUGAAAUGUACACAGUCUGGUUCAGGAAUUGUUCUCAUGAGCACCAGCCUCCUCUUGUUAUUACAUAUUAUAACCGUUUGUCAUCUCAUUUCCUCAAUCCUCUCCCUCGGUAUACAAUGUUCUGGAACCACUAUAACAUGUCCUAUGAUCUACUGAUUGAGAACAUCACUGAAUCUGACCUGGGACUCUACUACUGUGGGACUAUAGAGAGAAAUAUGGAGAAUGAGCAACGUAUUGAACAGACAAAUGUCUACCACUAUGGACAUGUCAUGAGAAGGCUUUCAUUUGAUGCCAGAACACCUGAUGUAGACUGUGGUCUGUGUUGGAUGUUGCUGUUCAGUCUGUGUCCUGUGUCUGCUCUCCUCUCCUCUCUCCUCUCCUCUGCCUGUGUCUACUCCUUCUGCAGAACAACAGCUCCAACUGAGACUCAGGUUCCUCUGAACAGGACGACCACCAGGGGAAGUGACAGCAGAGAGCAGACUACAGUCAGAAACCUUCGCACCCAUCAAUACCAUCAGAGUGAGACCUAUGCCAACCAUCAAUACCAGCAGAGUAUGAGACCUAUACCAGUCAUCAAUACCAGCAGAGUCAGACCUAACCAUUCAUCAAUACCAGCAGUGUGAGACCUACACCAGCCAUCAAUACAUCAGAGGGAGACCUACACCAGCCAUCAAUACAUCAGAGGGAGACCUAUACCAGCCAUCAAUACCAUCAGAGUGAGACCUAUACCAUCCAUCAAUACCAGCAGAGUGAGACCUAUACCAGCC